AAUAAGUUUGUUUUCACAAUAUUAUUCAACAUGGCAUCGAAGCAAGAGAAUCUGAUUAGUGUGUUGUUUUGUUUAAUUUGCACCCAUUUUAAUUCAAGUCCACGCCACAUCUCUCUAUCAAAAAAUCUCGACCGCGGGCAUGAGAGAAAAUGUUGAAUAUAAAUAUUAAAAAUAUUGUUCUCUCGUACGUAUGUAGUUUAAGUUUUUGAAAAACAACGGUUGUAUUUCUCAUAUGUAUUUUGUAUGUUACUAUCAUCGUGCAAUAGUGGAGGAGCCCUAGGGAGUGCUAAGUCAGUAACCUGAUAAAUGGACUACACAUUUUCGAGUUUGAAUGUACACAACCCAUUAGUAGAACAACUAGAGCUUAAAACAUAGCCAUCAAAUUAAAGGCACCAUAUGUACACUUCUCUCUAGCUUUCUCUCUCUUACAUUGACAAUUACCUUGCAUCUAUCUUGCACCAACUUGAUUAAAUUCACUUUUUUUUUCCUUUUUUGAAUGGAAAAUUAACUUUAUUAAUGAAACACCAUCUAUAUAUAAAUAUAUAUCUACCCCUUUUUUGAAUGGCUUAUGAUUCAUGUAACUAACAUCUUUAUAUCUAUCCUAACUAGUUGUAAUUCUAACAAACCCAUUAAUUCUCUUUGUACUCUUUCUCAACAACAAGUUAUAGUAUCAUGAAUAAAGGAAAACAAAAACAAACACAAAUACAAAAGGAAAGAUGGAAAAAAAACUAAAGAAUGGUGUAUGGUAUAUAAUUGUUAUGAAUUAUGUGAACAAAACAAGUGUAUAUAUAUAUAUAUACCUCCAUUGAGCCAUAGAACAAGAGGCUUCUUCUCCACAUCAUGAGAGACCUCAAAGAACCAGUAGAAGAGCGCGCGGCCGUGGCUCUCGUUGACAGUCACGUACCCCGCGUACUGCUCGAAGUUCACGAUCGGCUGGCCCGGGAGUCGGAUCACGCGAUCAGCAUCUUGUUGCUUUUGGACCUCAGGGUCCAAUUUGUAUGACUCAACAAGAGCCAAGUAAGAGGAAAAGAGAAGGAUACUAAGGAGGAAACAAGAAGGGAUAGAGAUCAAGGCACUCAUUUGGAGAAUUAUUGCUGGUCCCAAGGGUUCUUCAAAUGACAAGGGGAGUGGCUUUAGCUAUUGUAUAUUUAUAGCAUAAGGGGGGUGGACCCUUGUAUGUUAAUAUAUAUCCCUCUUAAGCUUAUUCGAUUGCACCAAAGUUGCUUCUUCUCAUCCUUCUUUUCCUCACAUUUAUAUAGGACAUAGAAAAAAGAUUCCUUCUCUUUUCUUCUUUUAUUUUGUUUUUGCUCUAGUGUUCAAUUUGUUUCACUAAGUACAAAAAGAAAGCCUCCCUAAGAUGAUGUGCAAAUCAGGUUAUUGUUUACACUUGGUGUAUUGGUGCGCUCGAAAUUUAUGCACCGUUAUUCUAUCUGCUAUUCUUUUCAUCUCAUAUUUUCAGUUCGAUCAUCUAAUUUCUAAAUAAAGAAAAGAUGAUAAAAUUGGUACAUGAUUAAGAUUAAAAUAUGAGAUCGACGGAGAGUUAAAUGACUGAUGUGUGUUACCCAGAAAAUAACUCUAAUAAAAAAUAAUUUUAAAAAUUAAAUGAAUCAUGUCAUGUGCAUUGACAGAAAAGAUAACUUAAGAUAAGAUUAAAAAAAAAAAAAAUUAAAAUAUAUACUACAAAAUAGCGAAUGUAAAAAUAGGGAUCUUAAGAUGAGUUAUGAUACGAUGUUAUCAAAAAAACUCAAUGUAUAAUAGAAAAUGAUUCAAAAAUAGUGUUAACGGUGCGCACAGAUGUACAGAUAUAAUAAUUGCUAUUUAUUUAGGAGAGUGGCGGGUCAGAAGAAGGAAGAGAAUGAGAAAAAUGAGCCAACUGAAAAAGCUGCACCAGAAGCUACCAAAAAAACAAUUUAAAAUCCCAAACCACUCUGUUUUUGGACUUGACUUCAUAUAGAUGGAUGGUAUUCUUUUGACUCUUUUGUUAGGUUUGGGUAGUUGUAUGCGUUUCCUUGCAUUGGUGGGGCACCUCUUUAUAGCCUCAUGUUUUGGAGGGCUUCUUUGUUAUUGAGAAGCAAUUAAUUAAUUAUAAGGGUUUUACAAAUAAGAUGUCUAAAGCUAGUUUGAUUAUUUUUCAAUGUUUUAUAAAUAAAAAUAUUAUGUGAUUAGAUGAGUUUUGUCACCAUUAAUUACCUUGCAAUGCAAUCUGAUCAGAUAUCAAAAAAUUAUUUCUUUCUUAGAAGAAAUUACCUACCAAACAAACUUGUAAAUGCAUAGACUAAUUAUUUGCUCAUUAAUUCUCUACAAUUAAGCCCUAAGUAAAACGACCCUUUCACUAGCAAUAAAAACUCAUUGUGCUCAAACCAUCAGCUCAAAAUGUUUAAACCUAAUUAUUAUUACUAGUUUUCAUGAUCUCUUAUAAACCCAAUAACAAUCUCAUUUUCAUUCGAUAUAGGACUAUUGGGGUGUCACAGACUUCCCCUGCUCUAGUCCUAACGUCGUCGUCAGUCCAAUAACACACAGUCCAAAAUCACCAAACGUUGUAAGAUUUAUCUCGCUAGCCUUGUCAUUCCGGCCCUAAUUUAAUCUUUCCCUUGUUAUUUCGACCCUGACUUAACCUAUCACUCCGACCUUGACUCAGUUAAGACUCAUUUUACGCUUCUAGCUAAUGAUUGGCUCUGAUAUCAAGCUUACAAAACGGAUCUCGAGACAUGACUCUAAUUUAUUUUGAAAUCCUAAAGUUAGAAGCGCCUAUUGCGCCAUGGAUAUAAAAACAAUGUUGUAAACAGAGCUAGUUUUGAUAUCUACAGAUAUAUUCAUUUUUUAAAUUUGCUUACCGUUCUCAAUUAAAUUUAGUCAUAUUUUUAGAUUCAUUAAAUCUGAAAUAGUCAGUACCACAGAUUUGUUGAUACCACUUUUCCGAAAAGAUAUUAGGAAUUUCCAGUCAAAAGAUUAUGUAAUAAACCUGUUUGUGAAUUCCACUAAAGACAACAAUAAUCAACACUGAUUAGAAGCUUCGAUAGUCCUAAAUGGUCCCCAGUGAGGCUGGCUUUUGUUUGUUAACUCUAACUAAAUAAAUAAAUAAAUAUUUUAACUUUAAAAAUACAAUUUUUACAUUUUUAUAUAUAUAAGCCAAUACAUCAAUAAUUUAUAAAAAUAUAUUAGAAUUACGAUAAAAAAAAAAUCCCCAAUUUGUUUUCGUACGGAUUUUCAUGUUGCGUAUUGCCUAUACUGUAGUAAAAGUCGAUAUAUUUUCUGCAAUCUAAUCACUAGAAAAAUAAAAAAAAUAUAUAUUUUAUAUGUUUUUGUUUUAACUCUAUUUUGUCAAGUAUUACCAAACUAAAUAGGCCAUAAAUAACAAGGAAUUUUGGAACGAAACAAAGAAGCUAAUGUCACGUUUAGCUGGAAUUAAUUACUGGCUUUGACCAGUAGAACGAAUUUUGAUGCACAGUUCGCAGUGAUAUCGCGUAAUAUGCGGAUACAGGCAUACAGCAAAGAUACAAAUCCUUAAUAUUUCCCUCACUAAUAAAUAAAUAUAAGGGUAUAAAUAUAAGGACCGACGGUCCCUAACGUAAGUGGUAAAAAGGCUUAAUAAUUGGUAUCCGAGAUUCAAAUUCGAAUCCUAGUUGAUUCACAUUUUCAGCUAAAUUUAUUUCUAAACAAAACGGAUAGCAUAUUAUCUUUCUCUGUCAAAAAAAAAAAAAAACAAAAAGGGUAUAAAUACUUUUUUUUGUGACACGCACCUCUCAGAAACUGCCAUGUGGAAAAUCCUCAUAAAAUUGGCUUAUUAGCGCCUACUUUGUUUUACCAAUGUUUGCACAGCUGAACAUAAUUUUUUUUAAAGAGCAAUUACUUAUAUACUCUUGAAAAGUUUCUGACUUUUCAAUUUACCAUUCUUAGAAGGCUAAUAUUAAAAAUAUCAUUUCUAGAUUUCAACCUAUUUCUAAUAUAUCCGUAAAGUUAAAAUUUGUUAAUUAACUCUGUUAUUUCUGUAAGAUUACUAUUUUGCCCUUUCAAAUAUACCCUUCCAUCAUCAUUAACUUUCUUAUUUGCCCUUAAAGUCAUGAGCAUAAAAAGUAUUUUGACUUUUAGUCUUUUCCAAUAUACCUCUCUAUCGUCAUCAACAUUUCUUAUUUGCCCUUAAGUUAAGGACAAAAUUGGUAUUUUAAUUUUUUUUUAACUGUGAUAGAUAUUCAACUCACGUUUAACCCAAGUAAACUUAAUAGAAGAUAACUGCGGAGGUAUUUUGCAAUAAUGGUGGUGAGGGGCAUUUUAGAAAAAAAAAUUAAGUAGAGAUAAAUUAGAUAUUUUCAAACGUAUAAGAAGUAAAUAGGCAAUUAUCCCUUUUUUUAAAAAUUAUCUUAUACUAUACAUAAAAGUACGUACUUCAAAUUUUAAUAUGUCGACAAACUUAUUUUAAAUUUUAUUUUCAUACGCAAAAUAAAUAAAGUAAAAAAAUAAACUUUUGGUUCCUCUUCUUUUUCAAACUAUUGAUAUUUUAUUUUUUAUUAAAUAUUUUUAUUAUUAAUAUCUUUUUUAAGAUAAAUAUUUAUAUAUUAUGUCUAUUCUAUCUACUGAUAUUUUAUUUUUAUUUUAACUUUUUAAUUUUGAUACUUUUAUCUUCUAAUAGUAUAUAAUAAAUAAAUUUACUUUUUUAAAAUUUAAAUUUUAUAUAGUAAAUGUUUGAAUAAAUAUUAAUUUGAAAUAGUUAUAAAAAUAUUUAUAAAGUGCAUUUGCAUGUAUACUCAACCAAUAUAUUAUUUAACAAACAAAAAUAAAUAACAUAAAAGUUAAAUUUUUUUAUUGUUAAUAUUCUUUUAUUUUUUUCAUAAUUGACUUUUAUCCGGAAAGCACCAAAGUUAAUUAAGUUAUUUUAAGUAGUUCGAACUUCGACCAAAGAUAAUAUUACGGUAAAUCAAAUAAUAAAAGUAGAUAUUUACGGUCAAAAAUAGCUUCACUUUGGUCUACUUGAAUCAGAAUAAUAAUAAUGGAGAGUAAUUUAUAACUUUUAAUACACACUAACUAAUCUCUGUUCUCGUAAAUUACAACAAUUAAUAAAUUAAAAUAAAAUAAAUAUUUCCAGGCUAGUUACCAAAGAACACAAAAUGUAAAUAUGGGAGUAACGAGAACGUUAUGAAAACGAUCACAUAUGAAUCCAUUAAUAUAUGACAUAUAUUAACUCAUUGACACAAAAAUUAAAAUUAAAAAGAAAAACAAAGGAGCUAGCUCGUGCAAUAUUGACUUGGAAAUUUGUGGUUCAUGUUCGUGAAUAAUAUGUUUUACGUGGAUAAAUGGGUACCCGUUCAUGUAAAAAUGGUCAAUGUUUAGCCACGAUCAUAAUUAAAAAUAAAAGAUAACACAUCAUAAUUAAACCAAAACAUAUAAAAAAAAUCAAAGAUCUUCAAUUUAUUAAUGCAGCAAAUAUCAAUAUUACUUAAUAUAAUGUAACCAGAAUUAUAAUUACAAAUAUUUUUCUUUGAGAAUUAUCAAUAUUUUCUUCAUUAUUUAAUUUUUGUUUCAGAAAACGUGACCCACCAACUAAUUUGGUAUAUAAUACCUAAAUAUCUCAUUAAUUAUAAUUACAAAUAUUUUUCUUUUUGAGUUAACCUCCUAUUUUAUUUUAGUAUUAUUCUUACUAAUCAUGCUUCUAAAAUUCCAGCACAAAUCACGAGGCCACACGUGCUCUUGAGCGGUACACGUUAACCACUCCCUCUUGAGUUGUAGGAUGCUCACAAAAAAUUUAAAAAUAAUGUUUUGUUGAUUACAUUGUCGAGCAUACAACUCAUAACUUAAUAUGAUAUCAGAAUAGAAUAUUCUAAAUUCGACUAAAAUUCAACCAGAAGAUUCUAAGUUCGAAUCUCUAUCAAACUUCUAAUCUCAUUUGAUUUUUCUCCCAUCAGAUUCAAGUUCACUUCUUGAGCAUAUCAAAAUAUUUCGAUCCUAGAUAUAAAGAAGAGUACCGAAUAUAUACAAUAUUAAAACACUAUUAUCCGAGUACUACACAUAAUUUAAUAUGAUGAUGAAUACACAAUAUUAAAACACGGUUCUCUAAAAUUUGCACAUAAUUUAACAUAACACAUGAUGCAAAAUCCUUGUAACAAGAGAGUAAAUACUAAAUAAAACAUCCUUGCUAUUGACAAUGCCUGUGGGAAUAUGUCAUUAUGCUGCAAAAAAACUGGUAAAAAUCGAGGAAAAAUAAAGUAGAACAUACUAUGCAACUAACAUUCCCUAUGAGCUGUUUGAUGCAACUAUGCACCUGCAAUAAUAAUGCGAGAUCAAACCAUAAAUCUUGAUUGUCACAUUGUAGUUGUAUCUAGAUACAAUAAUUGGACUUGCAGACGAAACCUCAAUCUCUGUAUCGCAGGCAAAAGCUCAAAUGCAGACGAAAGAUCAAUCGCUGUAUCACAUUUAAUGUCUAAAUAAAUAAAUAAA
rnacentral:lncRNA from 1 species